rnacentral:rRNA from 1 species
CCUGGCUUAGGACGAACGCUGGCGGCGUGCCUAAUACAUGCAAGUCGAACGGCUUUUCUAUGGAAGCUUGCUUCCACUGAGAAGAUAGUGGCGAACGGGUGAGUAACACGUGGGUAACCUGCCCAUAAGAGGGGGAUAACAUCCGGAAACGGGUGCUAAUACCGCAUAGUUUUCUUGAUCGCAUGAUUGAGAAAGGAAAGACGGCCUUUGUGCUGUCGCUUAUGGAUGGACCCGCGGCGUAUUAGUUAGUUGGUGAGGUAACGGCUCACCAAGACGAUGAUACGUAGCCGACCUGAGAGGGUGAUCGGCCACAUUGGGACUGAGACACGGCCCAAACUCCUACGGGAGGCAGCAGUAGGGAAUCUUCCGCAAUGGACGAAAGUCUGACGGAGCAACGCCGCGUGAGUGAAGAAAAGGGUUUUCGGAUCGUAAAACUCUGUUGUCAGAGAAGAACAAGUUGGAGAGUAACUGCUCCAGCCUUGACGGUAUCUGACCAGAAAGCCACGGCUAACUACGUGCCAGCCGCUGC